CUCCGAUUGGUCAAUUUUCGUAGGUUUCCCUCAGAACUGCAAGACGCCGAUAUUGCGUUACAUUGUAGCAAAAUGGCGGCUGUCAUUCAGAAUCCACUAAAAGCGUUGGGCGACCAGUUCUAUAAAGAGGCCAUUGAGCAGUGCCGCAGCUACAAUGCCCGCCUGUGCGCUGAACGCAGCGUCCGCCUGCCAUUCCUGGACUCUCAAACCGGGGUGGCCCAGAACAACUGCUACAUCUGGAUGGAACGUCACCAUCGCAGCCCCGGUGUUGCAGCCGGACAGAUGUACACGUACCCCGCCCGCUGCUGGCGAAAGAAAAGACGGCUGCACAACUCCACAGAUCCCCGCCUGGGCAUUUACGGCCUCCAGCUCGACGGCGGUCUCAUGUCAAAGGACACUUUGCCGACUCAGAGCACUACACUGGAAGCUCUGCUUCGUGGAGAGGGCCUAGACAAGAGGAACGCCUCCAAGAACGAUGAGGAGAGCCUGCUGGAGAUCCAGAGGGUUCUGGAGGCAGAUGCAGCAGAAGAUGCUUUCAAUGAUGACGACGACUACGAGGUGGACACUCCGAAGCGGAGACAUCGGGGAAAAGGAAGAGGUCGGGGUUCAGGUCGCAGGAGGACAGAUCUAGAUGAUGAUAAGCCAUAUGUCUGUGAUAACAGAUACAAACAAAGGCAGAACUCCAAAUCUUCAACCUCAGUCUGUGCAAAGCGCUACAGGAACCGCACAGGACUAAGUUACCACUACACCCAUUCCCACCUGGCAGAGGAGGACAGAGCCGGGGAAAGGAGCACAGUUGCUUCCCAACCCCCCACUGCACCACAGACUGACAGACACAAACGUCCAAAGGGUCCAGGUGGGACCAGCAUUCCCAACAGUUACUGUAAUAAAUGCCAGGGCUCAAACAAGAAAACGGGUAAAUCUGGGUCUCCCUGCUCAGCCUGCCAGUGCACAACUGACUGUGGAGAAGAGAAGGAAGACGGGACUUUUACUGGAGCUGAGGAGCUCUUCGGCACCACCUCAGAGAGCGACACUUCCACUUUUCAUGGCUUUGAGGACGACGAGCUGGAAGAGCCGGCUGCAAACGGCAAUGGGAUACCCGGCCGUCACAGAUAAAGAAAACCUUUUAGAUUUAAAGAGACAUUUUUUUAAUAUGGAUUAACCUCUGGCAAAAAUCUGCUGCUUCUUUUUCAAUGUUUUUUUUGUUUGCGGAAAGCACAAAGUGAUGAUUUCAGGACAGAAAUGCAAGCAAGUGGUAUUUUAUCUACUGAACAUUGUUAGUUAAUUUAUGAACACCUUUUUUUUUUAUAUAUAUAAAUACAUAUAUAAACAAACUAUAUGUUAUACAUAUAUAUAUAUAUAUAUAUAUAUGUAUAUAUAUAUAUAUAUAUAUAUAUAUAUAUGUAUAUAACAUUAAAGGUUACAAAGGACUGUCAGUGUUUCCUGACAAGUGACUCCGUGCAAAACGGAAGAUGUUUUUGGAGUGUGGCUUUUUUGUUUUUCGUUUUUUCUUCCCUCACUGGAGCAGAAGGAGCAUAAAGGUUAUGAACAAAAACACUGGAGAAAUUGGAAAAUUGCAGACAAGACUUUUUGUUUUUUAAGUGAAUGAUAAGUUUGGUAGAUGAUUGAAUGUCAUUGCAGACCCAUACUUGCAUUGCAGAACUACUGGAUAUUUUUGAAUCAGUAGUCGGUGUGACUAUGAAGACCUCUUCUUCUGCUCUAACUCUGAAUUAAACGUAUGAAAAUGAAGGAACCAAUGAAAGGAGUGCCACAGGCCACUGGAAAUGUUUGGAUGAAGAAACCUUUAUAGUCUUUACACAAGGGGGAGAAAUCAAAUCAAAGGAGCACUCAGCACAUUGACAUGUGGCCCAGGGCUGGGGGGUGACCAGUGAAGAAGAGGAUUUUAACCCUCAAAAACUAAUGAGCCUUCAUGUCCCUCCUGAUUUGGGCCUGAAAUAACUGACUGAAACGGAUGAAUAGGCAUCCAUCACUUCUCCCGGCCAUGUGGCUUAAUUGAAGCAACUGCUCCCUUGACAGUAUAUAUCGACCCCUUGUGAACAUUUGAAAUGUGAGUAUCCGGCUUCAUUUUAUCCUUUCUGCACUGUGCUGGAGCUCCUCUCAGAACUAUGGGAACACUAAAGGCCAGGCCUUUGGACUGUUUGUGCCCAACGGGUGCAUUUGGGGCCCCUGCGGCCCAGCCUGCCCACUCCUGCUCUGCAACUGUGUGUCUGCUGUGUGAUCCGAUGUGACACUAAGACGUCAUUAUCCUCAUCACUGUGCCAGCCUGCCGCUCUGCACUGGAAAUCAGCUCUGACAGCCAUGACCCUCCAACCUGAUUGGACCAGUGACCCUCUGACCUGCAGCCAUAGAGAUGGUGCUCAAACUCACCACUAUUACAUGCAGACCUCUGGACUACUGUAAUAAUACCCCGAUGUGGACACAGGUUUUCUGCUUCUGGCCCUCAGCCUGUUUUUGCUCCCUUUUUCCUCUGCCUCUCUGAUCUCAAAUGGAUGAUUUAGCUCACUUUUUUGUUGCAUAUUUUCUCUGUUGUAUAAUAUUUCUACGUUUUAAAGUUUGAUGGUAUGACUUCUUGCGUUUGUUCAGACUGUAUUGAUACCUCUGUCCUGAUCAGGUGCAUAAUAGCCACAACUACUCAGGCAUCUUUUCACUUCAUCUGCUGUUGAUUGUUCAGCCACUCAGCCCUGAUUUUAUGUGAUUGUUCUCAGUUGGCAGAGUAACACGCGUGGAUCCCGGCUCCCAGUAGGGACUGGGAAUACUGCAGUCUCAUGCUAUAGGAAAACAUUGCAAUAAUAAGCUUCAGCUCUGUCUCUUCUAUGCUCGUUCUACCUGCUGUCACGCAUGGCAUGCAAAAACUCUACAGUCUACAGAGGAGAUCGUGACACAGUGAGAUUCAUCUCGGAUUUGCAUUUGGAAUUAUCGUUACUAGAGUGACAUUACUCCGCUGGGAUACAGCUAUUUACUAAGAAGUGACAAGUGUAAAUCCAAGUUACUUGUGACAUUUCCAUUGAGUGCUUUAGAGGGCCUAAUUGCUUUAUGACAUUUAGAAGGAGCUUGAAGUACUGUAUCCAAAAGCUUUUUUAGGUCCGCUGGUUGCACAUGCUGUCUGAGAGGUCUGUUUUCUUCCAUGUGAUUAUUCAGUAUCGCUGCAAUGUAAUAACAGCUGCUCCGUUUUUGAAGCUAACCAUUAAUCUUAGAUGUGUCUGUUAUGACUUGCGUAAGUGCUUGUACAUUCAAACCAUCUUUCUUCACUUCCCUCAGGGACCCUCCACACACAGCAGUUUAUCUCCACUGGACAAGGAAUGCAUCUGAGACAUGUCGGUUGUCUUGUUUUCCUCAGUUACGUGUUGUUUCCACAGUUAAAAAAAGAAAAAGAAACUGAAAAAAGUGGGUCAUCGUGUCAUUUAUCUUCCUAAGUCAGUCAUGCCAGUAAGUUGAAGCAUGUGUCAUCACUCAUAAUCUGCUAAGUGUUACCUACCGUAUACAUGAAUGGGCCAAGUGCGGUGCAGUUCUGAACAAAAGGCGAAGCUCCCGAGUGCAAAAGUAAGCGAUGUCUGCGUAAUUUAACGUGUCACCAAUCAUUGAAUAGCCUGUAUACCUCGUCAAAGACACAGCAAUAGGCCCUGGUACUCUCUUGUCAAGCCUGCAAAGGAGGGUGGAGAGGGAGGAUCGGGGUGAGAACAGAGCCAAGAGGAGAUGAAAUGGACAUGACCGUUUUGGGGUUUUUGUUUGUUUAUUUUUCAUUUGUUUGGUUGUUUGUUUGUUUUUCAUCUUCUGCUGUAAAUAGUCAAAAAAGAGAGAAUGAAGUCUUUGUUAAACUAUUUUUAUUGUUCUGAAAAAAAUAAACAAAAAAAGGAAUAUUUUUGCGUGAUGCUGUUUUUCUGCAAAAGGGAGAUGGGUCAUUCUGAUAAGCACAAGAUUCCUAGACUGGAUCGAUAAGCUGGAGUGACUCAGAAUCUGUGAGCAGACAGAGAGAGAGGAAAAACAUCUCUUGAGUGUGUGAGAGCAGAGGCAGUGCUGGACUCUGUAUAAGACAAAGAUAACAAAAGUAGAUCUCGCUCACAGAGAUCUUAUUGAUCAGUAGGUGCUGCUUGAUAAAUAACAAGUGAGUCUAAAGAAAUGGGAUGAGUAACAGAGUCUACUGACACAGGAAUGUUUACUGGUGGCAAAAAUCAUCAUUUGAAUGUUAACUGCAGGUAUACAGAGGAGAUAAAUGACUGACAUAAUAUAUAUUUUUUUAAAAAGCCAGAACUCUGUAAAGGAUGUCAGGAUUGCAGCACAUGUUGCUCCAAAACAUACUACUUUCUUGUUUCGUGCAUGCUAAUGCCAGCAGGGAUGCUGGCAUUUGAACUGUGCUGAAACCAAGCUAGGUUUCUCCUCUGCGUGUACAGAAAGCACAGUUCAGAUGGCACGAUGCAAUGCCAUCUGAUUAUCAGGAGCUUCAUUUUUCAGCAUGACAAUGAUCCCAAACACUGCCAAUCCAGUAGCAGCAUACUCACAUAUAGAAAAACCCACAAUGGAUCGCUAUCAGUCAUUAAUUUUUAGUCAUGAAUAAUUUUCAGCUGUUGCUGAUCCUCCAUAUACUUUCUGCACUGAAUUUUAUCUAUCCAGAUGUAGUAUUUAGUACUCUGUUUUGCCAAUUUUUCUAGCAUAAUGAACCACAUGAUCACAGUAUUUAGGUUAACAGGCUCCGGGAUGUAGUCAGUUUAUCAGGUGGGCCUCUAGAAUGGUUUACCUCCCAACUUUCUGGCUAAACAUUCAGUGUUUUUGCAAACCAGUCUCCAAGAGCCUGCUGUGUGGGGUACCACAGGGCUCAGUCUUGGGACCUAUUCUCUUUUUUUUGUAUAUUUUGCCCCUAGGCCAAAUAAUCAGGCAAUUUUCUGAUGUGUGAUAAACUGUUUUAGUAGUAUUAACCAGAGUCUCUCUGAAAACGACUUGUAGGUGAACUAAAAAAAGAAACCCUAUUUAUUCCCCGAGAGAACCAAAUAACUGAAAUCAAGUAAUACCUUGGUCUAUUGCCCUCUUCUGUCAAACCAAACCUCAGAAACCUUGGUAUCAUUUUUGAUUCAGCCAUGUCAUUGGAGAGCCAUCAUGUCAUGGAUUAAUCAGAAACUGUUUUUUUUUUUAAAUUUCACAUGAGAAGUGUUUCUAAGCUUUGAACUCUGGUGUCAAAAGCUGAUUUAGAGAUGAUUAUUCAUGCCUCUUUUCGUCUCAUCUUGAUUAUCGUAACAGUCUUUUUUUAUGUUUGAGCAAGAAGGAUCUUGACCGUCUCCAGUUGAUACAGAAUGCUGCUGCUACACGAAAAAAACAGCACUCCAGUUUUAAUCUCUUUACGUUGGCUAUCAGUAUAUCUUAGAAUUCAUUAUAAAAUUAUAUCCCUGUGUGACCUUCUAGAACUUACAGCUCUUCUCACAGUCUGAGAUCUUCCAGUCAACAGCUGUUAAUGGUCCCAUGAACUAAUUUUAGGACCAGAGGGGAUAAAUAAAGAUUAUUAUUAUUAUUUUUAUUAUUACACAAAACCACUUUAACUGUUAUGCUUAAAAAAUACCAAUGCAGUCUCUCUUUAAAAGCCUGUUUCAGAUUCCUUUAGCUAGUAAUUCAAUUCAAUGAUGUCAAGAUGAUGAAUCGGACUGACCCUGCUCCCUCUGAUGUUAUAAAGUUAGGUCCAUAUUUCCAUUUUGGACCUAAUGGUGCGUUUUUUUCAUGAUUUUGCUUCCAUACACCCCUACAGUGCAAUGGGGAGUGCGUAUAAAAACAAUCCCUAAACAGUUAAUGUAACACUUUUGUUACACCUUUUAAAAUCUGCACUUCAGCCUCAUCUUGACUGUUUGACUUAAAAAUCCACGCUGGUAUAUAUAAAGGCAAAACUACAAA